rnacentral:lncRNA from 1 species
AAACCCCACAAAAGAAGAUACCUAAGAGAAAAAAGUAAUAAAUAGUUAACAACCGGACGGCAAUGGCGUCUCUCGGUCACUCACUCGGCGCUGCUUGAAGGAGAUGGACUCGCCUCCCUUUUUUCUCGGAUUUAAGGCUGAUAUGUGGAUAUUCCGGGUAAUGCAGACAUGACAUGAAGUCUCUGAAAUGCUCUGAAAAAGGGAAGCUUGCUUAGUUUUGUCGUCAUCGUGACCUGGCCAGGAGAUGGAAACCCUCUCGAGUACUUUGAGUGGAAGGCGCCGUGGUCUGUCAAUGUCGCGACGUUUGGAUAGAAUGAGGAAUGUCAUUGUUGCAGCCAGCAUGACCUGAUAGAAUACUGUGCACUUCUUUAAUUGAAGUUGCCGUUCCUCGUGACAUGCAGUGGGGUGUAUUGUGUGAAGAUGUUGGCUAGACGUUGUGUGGUGACGUCGGAUCCAUUGUUCAUCGGCAUGAAUUUGGCUACAAGGUGUGUGGCAAGGUAAAGGACGGCCAGAAAUCCUUGCACGAUAAGGACUCUACAAGGUUGUAGCAGAGGACUGCACUUUGAACCUGCUAGGUUAUUUUUUUAAAUAAACUUCUUAAAUAUU